UCAUGCUUACAACAUAAUGUUAAUGCACCAUAUCCCAUUAGAAAUCAACAUUUAAGCACAGUCAGGCUAGAGUAGUAUUGGGAUGGGUGACAACCCUAGAAGUCCUAAUGUUUUACAUGCC
rfam:Picea glauca, whole genome shotgun sequence.